rnacentral:tRNA from 1 species
GAAGGUAUGGCUCAGUGGUAGGGUGCGUGCCUAGCAUGGCACAAGGUCCUGAGUUCAAUCCCCAGUACCUCCA